rnacentral:lncRNA from 1 species
GAGUAUCGAGAUCAAAGAGCCUUCAAAGCCUAAGGCUCCUGAAAAGCCCAAGGAGCCCGCAAAACCUAAAGAACCGGAGAAACCUAAAGUGCCCGAGAAGCCCAAAGUGCCUGAGAAGCCUAAAGAACCAGAAAAGCCCAAGCAGCCGGAGAAACCCAAAGAGCCCGAGAAGCCUAAGGAGCCUGAGAAGCCAAAAGAACCGGAAAAACCAAAGGAACCUACGAAACCCAAGGAACCCGAGAAGCCCAAAGAGCCUGAAAAGCCCAAGGAACCCGAGAAGCCCAAACAACCUGAAAAGCCCAAAGAACCUGAGAAGCCCAAGGAAGCUCCUAAACCCGCACCGGUAGCUCCACCACCACAACCACCACCACCGUAUGCUCCAGAGCCAGUGAUAGUGAUGCCAGUACAAGGAUACCCGCAACAACCGC